AAAACUGGGAUAACUCCGGGAAACCGGAGCUAAUACCGGAUAGUUCCUUGAACCGCAUGGUUCAAGGAUGAAAGACGGUUUCGGCUGUCACUUACAGAUGGACCCGCGGCGCAUUAGCUAGUUGGUGAGGUAACGGCUCACCAAGGCGACGAUGCGUAGCCGACCUGAGAGGGUGAUCGGCCACACUGGGACUGAGACACGGCCCAGACUCCUACGGGAGGCAGCAGUAGGGAAUCUUCCGCAAUGGACGAAAGUCUGACGGAGCAACGCCGCGUGAGUGAUGAAGGUUUUCGGAUCGUAAAGCUCUGUUGUUAGGGAAGAACAAGUGCAAGAGUAACUGCUUGCACCUUGACGGUACCUAACCAGAAAGCCACGGCUAACUACGUGCCAGCAGCCGCGGUAAUACGUAGGUGGCAAGCGUUGUCCGGAAUUAUUGGGCGUAAAGGGCUCGCAGGCGGUUUCUUAAGUCUGAUGUGAAAGCCCCCGGCUCAACCGGGGAGGGUCAUUGGAAACUGGGAAACUUGAGUGCAGAAGAGGAGAGUGGAAUUCCACGUGUAGCGGUGAAAUGCGUAGAGAUGUGGAGGAACACCAGUGGCGAAGGCGACUCUCUGGUCUGUAACUGACGCUGAGGAGCGAAAGCGUGGGGAGCGAACAGGAUUAGAUACCCUGGUAGUCCACGCCGUAAACGAUGAGUGCUAAGUGUUAGGGGGUUUCCGCCCCUUAGUGCUGCAGCUAACGCAUUAAGCACUCCGCCUGGGGAGUACGGUCGCAAGACUGAAACUCAAAGGAAUUGACGGGGGCCCGCACAAGCGGUGGAGCAUGUGGUUUAAUUCGAAGCAACGCGAAGAACCUUACCAGGUCUUGACAUCCUCUGACAACCCUAGAGAUAGGGCUUUCCCUUCGGGGACAGAGUGACAGGUGGUGCAUGGUUGUCGUCAGCUCGUGUCGUGAGAUGUUGGGUUAAGUCCCGCAACGAGCGCAACCCUUGAUCUUAGUUGCCAGCAUUCAGUUGGGCACUCUAAGGUGACUGCCGGUGACAAACCGGAGGAAGGUGGGGAUGACGUCAAAUCAUCAUGCCCCUUAUGACCUGGGCUACACACGUGCUACAAUGGACAGAACAAAGGGCUGCGAGACCGCAAGGUUUAGCCAAUCCCACAAAUCUGUUCUCAGUUCGGAUCGCAGUCUGCAACUCGACUGCGUGAAGCUGGAAUCGCUAGUAAUCGCGGAUCAGCAUGCCGCGGUGAAUACGUUCUC
rnacentral:rRNA from 1 species